UAAAAGUUCCACCACAACUCUCAAAGUCCAUAUUAUUUUAAACAAUAAUCUCUUUUAAAUAUUUAGUUUCUACACAGUAGAGUAUUCACUUUCGAAAGCAUUUUCCUGUGCAUAUGUGGGCCAAAAUUUACGGGCUGUGACGGCUGAAUACGAAGAAGUACGAAGUGAAUAUAAAAGAAGUCAAUAUGGCGACCGACAGUGCAUCGUGUGAAAAUAAUACAGCAAAUUCACUCCCUUAUUGGUCAUUGGUUUUUACCAAGCUUGUUCAGUUCUGGGAUUUUUAUAUUGGGG